rnacentral:lncRNA from 1 species
UCCGGAGGAUCUAAUCUUGCAAUUGAAGCUCCAGAUGCUACUAGUGAUUACAACCAUACUAACAGUAAAAUAUGUCAAAAAUAAAAUUAAACGUUGAGUCUGAAUUUUAACUCCAGCCACAACAUCCGCGACGGUGAAAGAGUCUCUAGCCUAGUAGUUAUAGCACCUGAGUAACAUUUUUAGUAGGCUCAGGUUCAACUCCCCAUAGGAGUGAAUUAAACGGGUCAAGAAUAAAAAAAUUAUAAAAAAAUAGGUAGGGUCAAAGAAACAUCUGCGAUGUAUUGACUAUUAUGACUAUCUAGAGAUAUUAGGUCGUCGGCUUCUCUAAUCUUACCGUCUACUCCCUCCAUCCCAAAUUACUAUUUGUUUUGGCUUUUCUAGAUGCAAGCCAUGGCUUGGCUUGCAUCUAGAAAAGCCAAAACAAAUAGUAAUUUGGGCAUGGCUUGCAUAUAGAAAAGCCAAAACAAAUAGUAAUUUAGGACGAAGGGAGCAAGACAUUUCUACUAUAAAUACUAUGCAUAUUAGAAUAUACUGC